rnacentral:rRNA from 1 species
UACGGAGGGUGCAAGCGUUGUCCGGAAUCACUGGGCGUAAAGGGCGCGUAGGCGGCUCAUGAAGGCUGUGGUGAAAGUCCGGGGCUCAACCUCGAUCGGCCGUGGCGACUCGUGGCUGGAGCACUGUAGAGGCGGGUGGAAUUCCGGGUGUAGCGGUGGAAUGCGUAGAGAUCCGGAAGAACACCAGUGGCGAAGGCGGCCCGCUGGGCAGUGGCUGACGCUGAGGCGCGAAAGCCAGGGGAGCGAACGGGAUUAGAUGACCUUGUAGUCCCUAGGAACCAACGUCUCAGUC